GUGUAGAGUACAUUGCGCUGCAUCGUGUUACAUCAGAUGCUUUCUGUUCACACUGGUUCUGUUACAUAUGGAACUAACCUAGCAGCUGUAGUCUCGGAGUAACCACUAAAAAGAUGGACAGGAGCAGCCACUGUGGCUCCUGACAUGCAGGAGGGAGUCCAUGAGACGGUGAUGGCCAGCACGAACAAUUUGGGAUUCGGAUCCUCGAGAACACUUCAACAAGACAAAAGGAGGUGCAGAUCGAACAACCCCACCUUUAAUGACGACUCCUUCUUCCUCCUGAGCAACAUCUAUCCAAAAAUCUAUAGAUCCAGUUCCCAUGGGGAGCAUACACCAACUUUUUACUGAACCGUGUCACAGGAUAAAAGUCUGAGAUAUUUAAUUGGAUGGUAAACAAACCUGCUAAUGCCUCCGUCGCUGCACACAAGAAGUGAGUAAUACAAUGAGGAUGAAGCGCUGGUGUUUUAAUUACAGAGAUGU